rnacentral:rRNA from 1 species
UACGGAGGAUGCGAGCGUUAUCCGGAUUUAUUGGGUUUAAAGGGUGCGUAGGCGGGCUUUUAAGUCAGCGGUAAAAAUUCGGGGCUCAACCCCGUCCGGCCGUUGAAACUGGGGGCCUUGAGUGGGAGAAGAAGGCGGAAUGCGUGGUGUAGCGGUGAAAUGCAUAGAUAUCACGCAGAACCCCGAUUGCGAAGGCAGCCUUCCGGCGCCCUACUGACGCUGAGGCACGAAAGUGCGGGGAUCGAACAGG